rnacentral:rRNA from 1 species
CAGCAGCCGCGGUAAUACGUAGGUGGCAAGCGUUAUCCGGAAUUAUUGGGCGUAAAGCGCGCGUAGGCGGUUUUUUAAGUCUGAUGUGAAAGCCCACGGCUCAACCGUGGAGGGUCAUUGGAAACUGGAAAACUUGAGUGCAGAAGAGGAAAGUGGAAUUCCAUGUGUAGCGGUGAAAUGCGCAGAGAUAUGGAGGAACACCAGUGGCGAAGGCGACUUUCUGGUCUGUAACUGACGCUGAUGUGCGAAAGCGUGGGGAUCAAACAGGAUUAGAUACCCGCGUAGUCCCUGUCUCUUAUAU